AGAGUUUGAUCGUGGCUCAGGAUGAACGCUAGCGGCGCGCCUAAUGCAUGCAAGUCGAGCGAUAAGGUCCACUUCGGUGGACACAUAAGUGGCAGACGGGUGAGUAACACGUGGGUGACCUGCCCUCCAGAUGGGGAUAACGGAUGGAAACAUUUGCUAAUACCCGAUACCCUCUCGAGUCAAAUCGAAGAGGAAAGCUACGGCGCUGGAGGAGGGGCCUGCGGUCCAUCAGCUAGUUGGUGAGGUAACGGCUCACCAAGGCAAAGACGGAUAGGGGGUGUGAGAGCACGGCCCCCCACAAUGGGACUGAGACACGGCCCAUACUUCUACGGAAGGCAGCAGCAGGGAAUAUUGCACAAUGGACGAAAGUCUGAUGCAGCGACGCCGCGUGGAUGAUGAAGGCCUUCGGGUUGUAAAAUCCUUUUAGGGGAGAAGAGGAAGGACGGUAUCCUCUGAAUAAGCGUCGGCUAACUACGUGCCAGCAGCCGCGGUAAUACGUAGGACGCAAGCGUUAUCCGGAUUUACUGGGCGUAAAGCGUCUGUAGGCGGCAAGGUAAGUUUGAUGUGAAAGCUCCGGGCUUAACUCGGAGAGUGCAUUGAAUACUGCCUAGCUAGAGGGGAUCAGAGGAAAGCGGAAUUUCCGGUGUAGCGGUAAAAUGCGCAGAUAUCGGAAAGAACACCAGUGGCGAAGGCGGCUUUCUGGGAUCAACCUGACGCUGAGAGACGAAAGCUAGGGUAGCGAACAGGAUUAGAGACCCUGGUAGUCCUAGCUAUAAACGAUGGAUGCUAGAUGUGGGAUCGAGAAGAUUUCGUGUCGUAGCAAAACGCGAUAAGCAUCCCGCCUGGGGAGUACGGCCGCAAGGCUAAAACUCAAACGAAUUGACGGGGCCCCGCACAAGCAGCGGAGCGUGUGGUUUAAUUCGACGAUACACGAAGAACCUUACCUGGGUUUGACAUGGCCGUGGUAGAGAAGCGAAAGCUAAUUGACCCUUCGGGGAGCGGUCACAGGUGCUGCAUGGCUGUCGUCAGCUCGUGCCGUGAGGUGUCGGGUUAAGUCCCGUAACGAGCGCAACCCUUGCCCCUAGUUAUAAGUGUCUAGGGGGACUGCCGGUGAUAAAUCGGAGGAAGGUGGGGAUGACGUCAAGUCAGCAUGGCCUUUAUAUCCAGGGCUACACACACGCUACAAUGGCCGGUACAAUGAGCAGCGAAGCCGUGAGGAAGAGCGAAUCUCGAAAGCCGGUCGUAGUUCGAAUUGUAGGCUGCAACUCGCCUACAUGAAGCUGGAGUUGCUAGUAACCGCGCGUCAGCUAUAGUGCGGUGAAUACGUUCCCGGGGCUUGUACACACCGCCCGUCACGUCAUGGAAGUUGGUAACGCCUAAAGCCGGUAGCCUAGCUCGCAAGAGAGGGCGCUGUUUAGGGCGGGACUGGCAACUGGGACGAAGUCGUAACAAGGUA
rnacentral:rRNA from 1 species